ACCCUCUUGGGAUCACACCUGGAGAGUUUCCAGUACUCUACCAGUUAUGACAACAGGAGGGAGAGUCAAGCAGAGGGCUACCCAUUCCAUUCUUAGCUUGGCCAGUGGCUGGUGAGUGGAAGGCCAUCUGCUACAAGU